rnacentral:rRNA from 1 species
ACACUCCUGCGGGAGGCAGCAGUGGGGAAUAUUGGACAAUGGGCGCAAGCCUGAUCCAGCCAUGCCGCGUGAGUGAUGAAGGCCCUAGGGUUGUAAAGCUCUUUCACCGGUGAAGAUAAUGACGGUAACCGGAGAAGAAGCCCCGGCUAACUUCGUGCCAGCAGCCGCGGUAAUACGAAGGGGGCUAGCGUUGUUCGGAUUUACUGGGCGUAAAGCGCACGUAGGCGGACUAUUAAGUCAGGGGUGAAAUCCCGGGGCUCAACCCCGGAACUGCCUUUGAUACUGGUAGUCUUGAGUUCGAGAGAGGUGAGUGGAAUUCCGAGUGUAGAGGUGAAAUUCGUAGAUAUUCGGAGGAACACCAGUGGCGAAGGCGGCUCACUGGCUCGAUACUGACGCUGAGGUGCGAAAGCGUGGGGAACAAACAGGAUUAGAUACCCGAGUAGUCCC